UAAGAUGUAGUAUAAUGGUAUUAUGCUGGUUUUGGGUUCCAGUGACGGGAGUUCGAUUCUCUCCAUCCUGA